rnacentral:rRNA from 1 species
ACGUAGGGCGCGAGCGUUGUCCGGAAUUAUUGGGCGUAAAGAGCUCGUAGGCGGCUUGUCGCGUCUGCUGUGAAAUCCUGGGGCUUAACUCUGGGCGUGCAGUGGGUACGGGCAGGCUAGAGUGCGGUAGGGGUGAUUGGAAUUCCUGGUGUAGCGGUGGAAUGCGCAGAUAUCAGGAGGAACACCGAUGGCGAAGGCAGGUCACUGGGCCGUUACUGACGCUGAGGAGCGAAAGCAUGGGGAGCGAACAG